rnacentral:rRNA from 1 species
AUUGAACGCUGGCGGCAUGCUUUACACAUGCAAGUCGAACGGUAACAGGCCGCAAGGUGCUGACGAGUGGCGAACGGGUGAGUAAUGCAUCGGAACGUGCCCAGUCGUGGGGGAUAACGCAGCGAAAGCUGUGCUAAUACCGCAUACGAUCUGUGGAUGAAAGCGGGAGACCGUAAGGCCUCGCGCGAUUGGAGCGGCCGAUGUCAGAUUAGGUAGUUGGUGGGGUAAAGGCUCACCAAGCCGACGAUCUGUAGCUGGUCUGAGAGGACGACCAGCCACACUGGGACUGAGACACGGCCCAGACUCCUACGGGAGGCAGCAGUGGGGAAUUUUGGACAAUGGGCGCAAGCCUGAUCCAGCAAUGCCGCGUGCAGGAAGAAGGCCUUCGGGUUGUAAACUGCUUUUGUACGGAGCGAAAAGGCUCUCUCUAAUACAGGGGGCUCAUGACGGUACCGUAAGAAUAAGCACCGGCUAACUACGUGCCAGUAGCCGCGGUAAUAC